UAAAUAAAGGAAUGAAAUGAAGAGAGAGUUGAGUUAAAUCUUGCUGAAUACAAAUUCUAAUAGAAUUGUCAAUACCCUCUCCAGUCAUCACCAAAUGCACUGCCUUGUCGUUUUCCUUCCUUAGGACCUCAUAAGAUGAUAUGAAGAAGGUUGGCUGUUUUCCUAAUGUUGCCAUGACAGGAUUCCCGUGAAACCCUGAGAAUGCAUACAUAUAAAAGGCUACUAAAUUAUACAUAUUUUUAUUUUGUAUAAUGAAAUAAAAUAAAUGUAAGGAAGUUCUGGAAUUUAGAGCUAAAAAGGCCUUCAAACAGCAUCAUUGUGUCUAUUCACUUUGGCUUAACGAGAUGGAAAUACAGGGAGGUAAACUGCAGUGACCAAAUGUAUAACAGCUUUAAAGAUGGGUCUAUAGAAUAUUGAAUUUCUCAUUUAGAAUAGAUUUUUGCAUUUAAACCAAGUUAAUAUCUCGACAUUCUUUCUUUAGUACUCAAGGCCAACACAAGGUUGGAAGGGCUUAAUAAGAAAAAGAAAAGAAAGUCAUAUGCAUAAUAUUGAAUAAAUACAUACAUAGAACAAGAAUAUAGUCUACAAUAUUUUAAAAAGCUGAAAAGUAGAGAAAAUAUUCAAAAUACUAUAUAGCAACAAUAUUUGUUUGCAUUAAUAUUCCUCAGACCUGUCUAUUAUUUUGAGAUUAUUGAGUUAGUGAUAGCAAAAGAAUCUUCUCUAAUAAUAUGCUAAAUUUUUAAAAAUUAAUAUAUAUUUUACUUAAUAGUUAAAUGAGGAAUUUUCCCCAGAUUAAAGACAUCACCAUUGGCUAUUUUUGACAGGUAUUUACGUGUAGACGCAGAGCCAUGACCACUUAAGCUACCUCAGACAUCACCAGGCUCAUAAUGAGAAAUGAGAGUGUGAGCACUAAGUCAACAGACUUGAAGGAAGCCAAUGCUUCCUGGGUACCAGUCACUGAGGGUAGUGGGAAUAUAAAGAAUAAACAUGGGUUUUCCUUACACUUUGGGGGGAAAAAGUAAAUGGAAAAUAAGAAUCCAGUGUCAUGCUGAUAACGGGGGGUUGAAUAAAGGACCUCUGCAUCUUUUUCAGGGGGCUGUUGUGGGGAGACAUUUGCAGAGGAAGUGACUUCAAGGUGCAUGCUGAAGGAUGAAUCAAAUGAGGAAAUCAUCAGAACAAUGUGUACAAGAUGAAGAGACAGCAAAGAAGAGCUGCUGACCACUGGGCACUGGACAACCAAUUGGUGUAUUCUUUCCUGGAUAUUCCUUCUGGACCCCUGGAUCAUUCUCAGGAAGACUCAAUUUCAGAUGCCAAGCUGUGGUGGUCAUCACUCACUUGUCCUUUCAAAGACAACAUUCAUUCUUGUCUUCUGAGUUUUCAUAUUUACAACCUUCCUCCUAUCAAGGAAUACUGAAGUUUUAUUCACUAUUAUCAAGGAAUAGUGAUGUUUUAUGAUACGUAAUAACUAUUCACUUCAAGGUUAAGAAGCAGCUUUAGACUUACGAUCUAUCUUUCUGAAAGUGCAGUUCAAAAUUGCUCCAGAGUCUUGCUCUUCAAAACUAUCAAAACCAUACAAGACAAAAAAAAAUUUAUAUUACAGUCUUUAAAAAAUUACAGGGAUAACAAGAUGGCUCAGUUUAUAUAAAGGCACUUGUCAUCAAACCUGACGACCAGUCCUUCCACAAUAAAUUAACUAAAUAAAAUUUAAUGCAAAUAAAAUAAAUAAAAUAAAUGAUCUUGGCACUCACCUUGCAGUAAAAAAAAAUAUUUGAAUAAUUGGAGUGCUGCAUAUUAUGUUGUUCAAUUUAGCUAAUAUCUUUGGCUCACUCUGUUGGACUAUACUGUAAUUUGUCUGAAAGUUUCGAUUAAUAUAAAAAAGAAGACUGAGGAAAAUAAACAAGAAACAAACAACAGAGAAUGUACCUUUGUAUUGGCAGUAGGGAUGGGUUUAAGAAGAUUUCUUUCCUAGUGUAGGGGCAUACAUUUAAAAAUAGAAAAGGAAUCCUAUAAAUGAGCUUAGUAAGAAUAAAAGUAAUAACAAAAUAGCUUUAAAAAAUGAAAUUAAUUACAAAACUAUGAACAGUUGCUUCAAAAAAGAGAUAUAAGGAUAAGAUAAAUGCAACAACUAGAUCAUUAGAAAAAAUGGGACCUAAAAUGUAUGUGAAUCACCGCAGACAUGUUCUCUGAAUAAAAUAAACACAAUUGUGAAAUGUUUGGUUCAAAAGAAAUGGUGACUGUACAAGCCAGAGCGUGAGUGGCAUCACCAUGGAUACAGAUAUACAAUACCAACAUAUUUGAACAUCCACCUGAAGUUGAUGAUGUAAUAGAAAAAUAGAAGUUCAAUCAAGAAAAUGAAGAAUAUCUGAAUGCUCUGGAUACACACAUAUCCUCAAACUAUACCUCAACACUGUGGUGGUACCGCUUCUAGUGAGGAAGAGAAGCAUUUGGUUAUUGGGACAAUUCAACACUGAAAAAUGUCAGUUUCCUUCAACAGAAUUAUAAAUUUAAUCUUCUCUCAAUCAAAAUUCCAUUAUAGUCUUUCACACAUACUACAAAUCUAAUUCUAAGUUUAAAUGAAAGAGAAUGUUGACAAAUAGAGCAAAGAUCUCUUGGAAAACAGGAAAUAAUGAGGUACUGUGUCUAUCCAAAUACUAUAUAUAAAAAAGCAGCAAUUCAGCAAAUGAUAUGAAUGUGUCGUAGCACUCAUCUGUGGAGAGUGAUGGGGAUUUCAGACAUGGAUCAAUGGACAUAGAAGUAUUGUGUGUUACAUGUAUACUUCAUAAGAUGAUGUUAAGACAGUUGAUAUAUUUUUAAAAAUUUUUAUGUACUAUGCAUGUGUAUAAGUCUGCAUGCAGUUAUGUGCCUGUGAAUACAGGUGCUAUGGAGGCCAGAAAUGGGUAUCAGAUAUCUUGGAUAUGGGGUUAAUUACGAGCUGCCAGACCUGGGUCCUCUGUAAGAGCAGUAUAUAUUUCUGAACUAAUCAGCCGUCUUUCCAUCCCCAUUGACUUUCUCUUAGGAAAGACAAGUUUAAACAUCUACUUCUUAAUAUUUACACAAAUAAAACAAAAUUCCAAAAAGAAAUAAGAUAUAAAACCUCUUUAAAAAUUAUAUGCAUAUUCAGAGUACUUGGGGAAAGUGGUUUUGGAGUCUUGAGACAAAAUAGAUCUUUCUACACAUAAACCAGUUUGAAAGUACUACUUGAAAGGUAGCACUGAUAGGAAAGAUGUCCAGAGACCUCCGGGCCACUACAGGACAUGAGUAGGCCUCAGUUACACAAAACCCUGCCAGUGACCAUGCAAUGCUUCAGUGUGGGAGGGACAGCUAUCCAAAAACCUGCCCACUGCCAUGCCGCAAAGGGGGUGGAGGGACCAUAGACACCUAGAGGCCCUGUUGCUGCCACAUUAUGCAAUGCUGGCAUUGAGGUCAGCCAGAGGCCUGCCCACUUACAGAGGAAGCCACUGCAAUGUGCAAGUAUGUGGUAGACAGAGGGGAGAAAGAGAAGUGGAACAGUUUGAGCAUUGUGAAGAGAGAUGGAACUGGAGACACAAGGGUCGAGAGGAAUAGUCUCUUGUGAGUGGGCGGCCUGCUGAGGCUAUAGUGACGUCUCAACCUGUGCUGCUUCUGAGGGUUAUGCAGUGGCAGGAGUCUUUGUCCAUGUCCAUGGUUCAUAUUACCACUAGACACCAUGUGGACAUCCUUGGUCUGGGCAAAGGCCUGAGCACACUUACAUGUUCAAGGGCACUACAAAAUUGGUCCUGUCCCUAACUAGCCACAGUUCUUGCCCCUCUAUACCUUGCCUGAGCAGCACAAUAGAGCUGUCCCCGAUGGGGGAGGUGGGGUACAAGUGAGCCAGCCACCUAAAGCAGUCAGUAGAGCUGGCCCUGAGGUCUUGAGAUCAAGUGAGCUGGCCCUGACCCUCAUUGACUAUAGCUCUUGGUAGAGCACGUCCCGUACCUCACCUGGGCAGCACAGCAAAGCUAGUCCUGGCUGUAGGUGGGGGUGGGAGUGGAGGGUGAGAGUGAGCCAGCUCCAGGGGCUAGAGGGAGGGAGGGCUUGACUUGCCUUUUUUCUGCUCUGAGCACCUCAGAAUAGCACAGACAUGGGGGUGAUGCCCUCUACCCCAUUGUCCCUUGCCACUGGAGGCAGUUAGGAGAGCUGGCCCUGAGGUUAUGACAACUGGAGAGCUGGACAUUCCCCUCCCUUGGUAGAUAGAGCAGGCCCUGCAUCUUGAUGGAGCAACAUAGUGGACCUGGCUCUGAUGGUAAAGGCACCAGUGAGCCAGCCCUGAGAACAUGAGAGCAAAGAUCUGUCCCAGGCCCCUCUCAGGCUGGCUGUAGCCCUUUUGACAAUAUGUACUCACUGAUAAGUGGAUAUUAGCCCAAAACUUAGGAUACCCAAGAUAUAAG
rnacentral:lncRNA from 1 species